AGUCGGGUGCCAGCAGCCGCGGUAAUUCCAGCUCCAGUAGCGUAUAUUAAAAUUGUUGCAGUUAAAAAGCUCGUAGUUGAAUCUCUGGUGGGAGGGAUCUGCCUAACACUUUGGUGCUGGGAUGUGGUCCUCUCCUGCCAUCUUCGGGUGAGCAUUUGUCUGGCAUUAAGUUGUCGGACUAAUGAUCCCCGUCUUUUACUGUGAAGAAAAUUAGAGUGUUCAAAGCAGGCUUAUGCCGUUGAAUACAUUAGCAUGGAAUAAUGAUAUAGGACUUUGGUGCUAUUUCGUUGGUUUAUGCGCCAUAGUAAUGAUUAAUAGGGACAGUUGGGGGCAUACGUAUUCCGCCGUCAGAGGUGAAAUUCUUAGACCGGCGGAAGACGAACUACUGCGAAAGCAUUUGCCAAGGAUGUUUUCAUUAAUCAAGAACGACAGUGCGGGGAUCGAAGAUGAUUAGAUACCAUCGUAGUCCGCACCAUAAACUAUGCCGACUCGGGAUCGACAGUCGUUUAUCGUAACACUGUCGGCACCGUGUGGGAAACCAAAGUCAUUGGGUUCCGGGGGGAGUAUGGUCGCAAGUCUGAAACUUAAAGAAAUUGACGGAAGGGCACCACCAGGAGUGGAGCCUGCGGCUUAAUUUGACCCAACACGGGAAAACUCACCAGGUCCAGACAUAGUGAGGAUUGACAGAUUGAGAGCUCUUUCUUGAUUCUAUGGGUGGUGGUGCAUGGCCGUUCUUAGUUGGUGGAUUGAUUUGUCUGCUUAAUUGCGUUAACGAACGAGACCCCCGCCUGCUAAAUAGUUAGGUGAAUGUUUUUUCAUUCUCCAUAACUUCUUAGAGGGACUUCCGGUGACUAACUGGAGGAAGUUGGGGGCAAUAACAGGUCUGUGAUGCCCUUAGAUGUUCUGGGCCGCACGCGCGCUACACUGAUUCAUUCAACGAGCUUAUAACCUUGGCCGAGAGGCCUGGGCAAUCUUUGAAAAGUGUAUCGUGCUAGGGAUCGAUCAUUGCAAUUUUUGAUCGUGAACGAGGAAUUCCUAGUAAAUGCAGUUCAUCAAACUGUGUUGAUUGCGUCCCUGCCCUUUGUACACACCGCCCGUCGCACCUACCGAUUGAGUGGUCCGGUGAAGACUCGGGAUAGUGACCAGAUUCCUUCAUUGGACUUUGGCUACGAGAACCUGUCUAAACCUUAUCACUUAGA
rnacentral:rRNA from 1 species